rnacentral:lncRNA from 1 species
GUUCACAGCAUCUGUGCCCAGCUCUAGGAAGAAAGCCACCUUUGCCUGAGUAGCAUCACUGGCUCCCUAGCUCCUUAGGAGUGUGAGUUCCACAGCUCCCACUCUGCUUUUCUGCCCGGAGAAGCUCUGCAUCUGACAGCGAGGGCGCAUCUCAUCUCGUCCCCAAACAGCCAGCCAGGUGGUGCUGUCAGCACCAGGCUGGCCGCCAGGCAGGGC